CAGGGGAUCAGAUCCCAAAGGGUGAGAUCCCAGAUGAUGAGAUCCCAGAGGAUCAGAUCCCAAAGGAUCAAAUCCCAGAGGACACCCCCUGUGCACAGAGCUGGGUGUCCCCAGCGUGACCCUCCUGUGCUGGUGUGUGAGCCACCAGCAGGUGCCAAAACCCACAAGAUUUGCCUCAAAACAGUUUCCUUGCUGUUUGGGCAGCCUCCAGGAGAGCUGCAAAGUGAGGUCCUGGGGAGGACUCCACUCCCCAGCCCUGAGGGGGGUCACAGCUCUGGCUACACCUGGGGAACUGAUAAAAAUGCAGAAUUCAAAGCAGAGAUAGCAAAUUCUCACUUCCCCUUGCUGGCUGCUGCUGUAAAGGCAGAGGUCAGGCAGGGGAACAGGGGCUUUCCUUGGCCCUCUGUGUGGCCCAGAGCUUGGAAGAGCCAAAUGAGUCACUGACCCUCAUCCCAAUGAGCUUUUCCCAGCAGCUGUGGGAGGAGGGAUGAAGAUUUCCCAAUAAAAGGGCGCUUUUUCACAGAAAAAUUAUCAGCAUCUUGGAAAAAAUGAUGUCUCACAGUGGGAAUUAUCCAUCUAAACACUCUGGGGACAUCAGGGAUCCCAAGAGGAGCAGGGUGAUGUGAAUUCCAGCAGUGCAUCCGAGGAGGCAGCGCUGGGAUCAUCCCUCUGUUUCCUGUGUGUGGACUCGGGGUUUUCUCCGCAAGAACCAACCUAAAACCAGCGCAAGUUCCUCCUCAUCCUGAAAUAUUUUCAGCCCAAACCCCAGGAGUGGAGAAGCUGGGAUGGGACCCUCACCCAGCACCAGCGCCAGCGGCCGGCGGCGGAGCUGGAGAGCUGCGUCCCGCUGAGAGGAUGAAAACAUGGGGCUCAAGUUCUCCUGCCUGAAAGGCUUGAAGAUGUGCGUGAGCAGUGGGAACGGCAGCGAGGGGACCCCAGCGGGACAGAAGCACCUGCACGUGCCCUCCAUCAUCGUCACACCUCCCACGCCCACGGGGACCACGCUGUCCCGCGAGGGCCGGCGCGGGGAGAGCCCCUCACCCUGCAGCCCGUGCUGAGAGGGGACACGGGGGGACAGGAGCUGUCCCCUCUCCUCGGGAUGGAGCCCCCAAGGCACGGCCGGGCCGGAUGCAGCCACCAGGAACACCCACAUGGGUGGGUUUGGACAUGGGGGACUGGGGUUUGUCCCUUUUGCUAUUCCCCCCACGGCGAAUAAAACCCCACACCCCCAAUUUGGCUGUGGCAGCACACGGGGGAUGGGUUGUGCACCCCAAAAAACGCCAGCAGCACUCUCAUGGAGUCACCCCAGUGCCCGUGGACAGCCAAAGUGGGGUCCUCCAGCUGUCCAAGAGGGAUUGAAGGAUCCAUUGCAGCAAACAACAGCGGGAAAAUGAACUCGGCGUCAUCACCCACAUCCCGGGAGGGAGUCGGGGGCGACGCUUCCCCGGGAGCGGCGGCACCCGGAGCCGGCGGGAGAGGCGGGAGUGUGAAAGCAGAUGGAAAUUUAAUUUUUUAAUGACA